rnacentral:lncRNA from 1 species
UCUGAGGAAGCUGUCUUUGACUGUUGGCUACCAAGUAUAGUAUUUAUCCUGUCACACCUCUUUUUCUUUUUUAGUCAUCAUAUUUUCUCUGACUUGAUCGAUUUAAAAUGCAGCUGCUUCAUAUUCUCGUCAAUCGGUCGGACCGCUCGGUCAGGAAGGCACAAUUACGAGAGGUCGAGAAGAAAGUCGAGAUGGAUGCCCAAGUAGUUCAGGUGAAAGUUAACGAACUAGAGGCUGAGGCCAAGCAUUUCCAGGGGGCCCUUGGGCAAGUGGAGUCUGAUCUUGUCCACGCCC